rnacentral:rRNA from 1 species
AACGAACGCUGGCGGCAUGCCUAACACAUGCAAGUCGAACGAAGCCUCCGGGCUUAGUGGCGCACGGGUGCGUAACGCGUGGGAAUCUGCCCUUGGGUUCGGAAUAACAGUUAGAAAUGACUGCUAAUACCGAAUGAUGUCUUCGGACCAAAGAUUUAUCGCCCAAGGAUGAGCCCGCGUCGGAUUAGCUAGUUGGUGAGGUAAAGGCUCACCAAGGCGACGAUCCGUAGCUGGUCUGAGAGGAUGAUCAGCCACACUGGGACUGAGACACGGCCCAGACUCCUACGGGAGGCAGCAGUGGGGAAUAUUGGACAAUGGGCGAAAGCCUGAUCCAGCAAUGCCGCGUGAGUGAUGAAGGCCUUAGGGUUGUAAAGCUCUUUUACCCGGGAUGAUAAUGACAGUACCGGGAGAAUAAGCCCG